GACGAACGCUGGCGGUGUGCUUAACACAUGCAAGUCGAACGGUAAGGCCCUUUCGGGGGUACUCGUGUGGCGAACGGGUGGGUAACACGUGAGUAACCUGCCCUCAUUUCUGCGUUCUCAGUCGGAAACGGUUGCUAAUGCUGGAAAUGAGCUUGCUAGGCAGCUUGUGGGCUGGUGGGAUUUGUUUUGGUGGUGGAUGGGAUGGCGGCCUAUCCGCUUGUUGGAGAAGUAGUGGCUCACUAAGGGUUUGCCGGGUAGCCGGCCUGAGAGGGGGACCGGCACCAGUGGGACAGAGAGACGGCCCACAGUCCUACGGGAGGCAGCAGUGGGGAAUAUUGCACAAUGGACGGAAGUCUGAUGCAGCAGCGCCGCGUGCGGGAUGACGGCCUUCGUGUUGUAGACCGCUUUCAAUUGUGACGAAGCUUUUUUGUGACGGUAGCGGUAGAAGAAGCACCGGCUAACUACGUG
rnacentral:rRNA from 1 species